GAUGAACGCUGGCGGCGUGCCUAAUACAUGCAAGUCGAGCGAACAGACGAGGAGCUUGCUCCUCUGACGUUAGCGGCGGACGGGUGAGUAACACGUGGAUAACCUACCUAUAAGACUGGGAUAACUUCGGGAAACCGGAGCUAAUACCGGAUAAUAUAUUGAACCGCAUGGUUCAAUAGUGAAAGACGGUUUUGCUGUCACUUAUAGAUGGAUCCGCGCCGCAUUAGCUAGUUGGUAAGGUAACGGCUUACCAAGGCGACGAUGCGUAGCCGACCUGAGAGAGUGAUCGGCCACCCUGGAACUGAGACACAGUCCAGACUCCUACGGGAGGCAGCAGUAGGCAAUCUUCCGCAAUAGGCGAAAGCCUGACGGAGCAACGCCGCGUGAGUGAUGAAGGUCUUCGGAUCGUAAAACUCUGUUAUUAGGGAAGAACAAAUGUGUAAGUAACUAUGCACGUCUUGACGGUACCUAAUCAGAAAGCCACGGCUAACUACGUG
rnacentral:rRNA from 1 species